rnacentral:rRNA from 1 species
ACGAGUGGCGGACGGGUGAGUAAUGUCUGGGAAACUGCCUGAUGGAGGGGGAUAACUACUGGAAACGGUAGCUAAUACCGCAUAACGUCGCAAGACCAAAGAGGGGGACCUUCGGGCCUCUUGCCAUCGGAUGUGCCCAGAUGGGAUUAGCUAGUAGGUGGGGUAACGGCUCACCUAGGCGACGAUCCCUAGCUGGUCUGAGAGGAUGACCACGCCACACUGGAACUGAGACACGGUCCAGACUCCUACGGGAGGCCAUG